UGCGGGAUUGUGUAAUGGUAGCACAAAUGACUCUGGAUCAUUCUGUGAGGGUUCAAAUCCUUCUCCCGCAGCCA
rnacentral:tRNA from 1 species